rnacentral:rRNA from 1 species
UGGGGAAUAUUGGACAAUGGGCGCAAGCCUGACGGAGCAACGCCGCGUGAGUGAUGAAGGUCUUCGGAUCGUAAAACUCUGUUAUUAGGGAAGAACAAAUGUGUAAGUAACUAUGCACGUCUUGACGGUACCUAAUCAGAAAGCCACGGCUAACUACGUGCCAGCAGCCGCGGUAAUACGUAGGUGGCAAGCGUUAUCCGGAAUUAUUGGGCGUAAAGCGCGCGUAGGCGGUUUUUUAAGUCUGAUGUGAAAGCCCACGGCUCAACCGUGGAGGGUCAUUGGAAACUGGAAAACUUGAGUGCAGAAGAGGAAAGUGGAAUUCCAUGUGUAGCGGUGAAAUGCGCAGAGAUAUGGAGGAACACCAGUGGCGAAGGCGACUUUCUGGUCUGUAACUGACGCUGAUGUGCGAAAGCGUGGGGAUCAAACAGG